rnacentral:sRNA from 1 species
CCUCUUCGAUCUGCUGCGGGCAGAUGAAGUGAAUGUGCGAGUCGAUACCGCCAGCGGUGAGCAACAUGCCUUCCCCGGCGAUGACCUCCGUGCUGGCGCCGAUGGCGAUGCUCACGUCGGGCUGAAUGUCCGGGUUGCCUGCCUUGCCAAUGGCAUGAAUGCGCCCGUCUUUGAGACCUACGUCGGCUUUGACGAUGCCCCAGUGGUCGAUGAUCAGCGCGUUGGUGAUCAGCGUAUCGACCACCUCGGCGGCGCACAGUUGGCUUUGCCCCAUGCCGUCGCGG